rnacentral:rRNA from 1 species
UGCCAGACUCCUACGGGAGGCAGCAGUGGGGAAUAUUGCACAAUGGGGGAAACCCUGAUGCAGCGACGCCGCGUGAGCGAUGAAGUAUUUCGGUAUGUAAAGCUCUAUCAGCAGGGAAGAAAAUGACGGUACCUGACUAAGAAGCCCCGGCUAACUACGUGCCAGCAGCCGCGGUAAUACGUAGGGGGCAAGCGUUAUCCGGAUUUACUGGGUGUAAAGGGAGCGUAGACGGUCCUGCAAGCCAGAUGUGAAAGCCCGGGGCUCAACCCCGGGACUGCAUUUGGAACUGUAAGGCUAGAGUGUCGGAGAGGCAGGCGGAAUUCCUAGUGUAGCGGUGAAAUGCGUAGAUAUUAGGAGGAACACCAGUGGCGAAGGCGGCUUACUGGACUGUAACUGACGUUGAGGCUCGAAAGCGUGGGGAGCAAACAGGAUUAGAUACCCGAGUAAC